AAAUUUGAAAUCUGGCCCCUUUGGGGUCCGAGUUGUAAUUUGCAGAGGAUGCUUCGGGUGCGGUCCCCGUCUAAGUGCCCUGGAACGGGCCGUCAUAGAGGGUGAGAAUCCCGUCUGGGAUGGGCGGCCGCGCCCGUGUGAAGCUCCUUCGACGAGUCGAGUUGUUUGGGAAUGCAGCUCUAAGCGGGUGGUAAAUUUCAUCUAAAGCUAAAUACUGGCCGGAGACCGAUAGCGCACAAGUAGAGUGAUCGAAAGAUGAAAAGCACUUUGAAAAGAGAGUUAAACAGCACGUGAAAUUGUUGAAAGGGAAGCGUUGUCCACCAGACUCGCCCGGGGGGGUUCAGCCGGCACGUGUGCCGGUGUACUCCUCUCCGGGCGGGCCAGCAUCGGUUUGGGCGGCUGGUGAAAGGCCCCGGGAAUGUGCCACCCUUCGGGGUGCCUUAUAGCCCGGGGUGCCAUACAGCCAGCCUGGACCGAGGCCCGCGCUUCGGCGAGGAUGCUGGCGUAAUGGUGGUCAACGGCCCGUCUUAA
rnacentral:rRNA from 1 species